rnacentral:tRNA from 1 species
UAUUUAAGGAUUUAACAAUCAUGAUUACAGCUUCAAUGUAAAGCUUUAUAAUUAAGCUACUUAAAU